GAGUUUGAUCGUGGCUCAGGAUGAACGCUGGCGGAGUGCCUAAUACAUGCAAGUCGAGCGGCAGCACGAGUAGUUUACUACUUGGUGGCGAGCGGCGGACGGCUGAGUAACGCGUGGGAACGUGCCCCAAAGUGAGGAAUAACUGCCCGAAAGGGUAGCUAAUGCCGCAUAUGAUCUUCGGAUUAAAGUAUUUAUUACGCUUUGGGAGCGGCCCGCGUCUGAUUAGGUAGUUGGUGAGGUAAAGGCUCACCAAGCCGAUGAUCGGUAGCUGGUUUGAGAGGAUGACCAGCCAGACUGGAACUGAGACACGGUCCAGACUCCUACGGGAGGCAGCAGUAAGGAAUCUUCCACAAUGGACGAAAGUCUGAUGGAGCAACUCCGCGUGCAGGAUGAAGGCCUUAGGGUUGUAAACUGCUUUUAUGAGUGAAGAAUAUGACGGUAACUCAUGAAUAAGGGUCGGCUAACUACGUGCCAGCAGCCGCAGUAAU
rnacentral:rRNA from 1 species